CUUGUGUCUGUAGGUGUCCAGUGUGACGUGCAGCUGGUGGAGUCUGGGGGAGACCUUGUGAAGCCUGGAGGGUCCCUGAGACUCACCUGUGUAGCCUCUGGAUUCACCUUCAAUGGCUAUUGGAUGAGCUGGGUCCGCCAGGUUCCAGGGAAGGGGCUGCAGUGGGUCGCAGAAAUUAGUGGUAGUGGAGGUAGCACAAACUAUGCAGACUCCAUGAAGGGCCAAUUCACCAUCUCCAGAGACAACUCCAAGAACACGCUGUAUCUGCAGAUGAACAACCUCAAGACCGAGGACACGGCCACAUAUUACUGUGCGAGAGACACCGUGAGGGGACCUCACUAG